ACUGCGCAGACUCAGAGGUGGCUGAAGCUUUGCUGGUCUUGCAUCUGGGGUGUCUGCUUCCUUGUCGUCGUCGUUUUUGCCUCAGCUCAUUGACUUGCGACAAGGUUUUGAAGAACUCUGCCCCGUGUUUUCCCGGUCUGGGUGCUUGAAGAGAAGGAAAGGGCCAAGAGAACACGAAACUGCCGAACGCCGCUGGGCCGAAUAUUCCUUCAAGAGUCCAAGGAAACUGUCCCUGGGGACGGGCGAAGGGCGGGCCGUGGCGUGGUCCCUGCCGUCGCGCACCGGGGCGGAUCGUGUGAUUCUUGAGACUCAGGACCCAGCCUCCCUGUUCUACUUUUAAGAACACUUCUGAUUACAUUGGACCACCUAGAGAAUUCAGGAUAACUUUCCAUUUUAAGGGCUCAGACCUUUGGAGACCACGCUCCUCUGAUCCCACCAGCGUUAAAUAAACCUCCCAUCCUCCGAGAUCACCGAGUGCUGCUUGGUUCUUCUGUCGGGCGAUCCAGUCCAGGUUCCGUAACACAUUUACUUCUCGGGAACAAAACAAAUCAUUUUUGGACUUGGAAUCUGUAGGCAUAAAAUGUGCCCUUCUUGCUCUUCAGAAAUAAAGACUCUAAAAACAUGAAACUUGAAACUUGUUUCAAGGUGCUGUCGGAUUUGAGGUGAACAAUUUGAGAAAGACCAAUAUUUCACCUAACAAAAGUCUGAGAAUAUGAAAAUGCCUUUGUGCUACGAGCAGUCUUUCUAAUUUGUCUACAUAAUAUGUAAAUAUAGAAUAAUUUUCACAAACCAUACAGAAGAAUCCAUUUUAUUACUUUACAACUGUCCAUUUCUAAAUGUGUGUGUAUAUUAAUACCAUAUUUAGUGCAGUUGAUU